rnacentral:rRNA from 1 species
ACACAUGCAAGUCGAGGGGAAACGACAUCGAAAGCUUGCUUUUGAUGGGCGUCGACCGGCGCACGGGUGAGUAACGCGUAUCCAACCUGCCCACCACUUGGGGAUAACCUUGCGAAAGUAAGACUAAUACCCAAUGAUAUCUCUAGAAGACAUCUGAAAGAGAUUAAAGAUUUACCGGUGAUGGAUGGGGAUGCGUCUGAUUAGCUUGUUGGCGGGGUAACGGCCCACCAAGGCAACGAUCAGUAGGGGUUCUGGGAGGAAGGUCCCCCACAUUGGAACUGAGACACGGUCCAAACUCCUACGGGAGGCAGCAGUGAGGAAUAUUGGUCAAUGGACGAGAGUCUGAACCAGCCAAGUAGCGUGCAGGAUGACGGCCCUAUGGGUUGUAAACUGCUUUUAUAAGGGAAUAAAGUGAGUCUCGUGAGACUUUUUGCAUGUACCUUAUGAAUAAGGACCGGCUAAUUCCGUGCCAGCAGCCGCGGUAAUACGGAAGGUCCGGGCGUUAUCCGGAUUUAUUGGGUUUAAAGGGAGCGUA